UCCCGUGCACCUCCGUCCAGGCUGGAGAACCUGAAAUGCCCCUGUUUUCCGGCAUGCUCUCUCUCAGGGAGGAGGAGUCAUGUGACACAGCAAAGGCCAAUGAGGCACGGGGGGCAGUUUGCACUGGCCCUUCCUCUUUCUUCCUGUCUGAUCCACAGACACAGUGUGCGUUUACCCUCUGGAGAACACGCGGUGAGUGUGUGAGGAAGACGUGGACACAGCCGCCAGUGCCAGUCUGGGCGUCGCCGAGCCCAGACCCCGUGCUUCCAGACACCUGCCUUCAGGCUCGUGGUGAAAAAGGGCUCCAGUUCGGUCUGCUGCCACUUGUAAGCAGAUUCAGUUCCUCACUGAAACCAGCUCCUUCACUCACGCCUCCCGUGCUCCAGCCAGAAGAGGCCCUGUGCGUGUUCCACUUGGUGUAAACAGGUGCUCAGAGGUCCCCAGAUGGGCCGUCAGGUCAACCAAGAGCGAAGCUACAAAUCCCACUUGGGACUCAGCCACCACAUCCUUCAAGCUCUUCCAGAGCCAAUAAAUUACUUGCAGAAGGGCCGGUGUUGUGGUGCGGCUACGCUGGCAUUCCACGUGGGCACUGGUUCAUAUCCUGGCUGCUCCAUGUACAAUACAGCCCCCUGCUAACGCACCUGGGACAGCAGAGAAAGCAGCAUGCCUGGAGUCCUGCACCCACAUGGGAGACCCAGAAGAUGCUCCAGGCUCCUGACUGUCUGGGCAGCCCUGGCUGUUGUGGCCAUUUGGGGAGUAGACCAGUGGAUGAAAGAUGGAUCUCUCUCUCUCUCAUAUAUAUAUAUAUUUUUUUCUCUCUAAUAUUUUGAAAAAAAAAAGUCUGCAGAAACAGCAAGUGUAAUACUGACAUGUGACCAGUGAGUCCCCUCCCCUCAUUCAAGCCAUCCCCUCAUUCAACCCAGUUUCUUCCCCACCUCCCUGUAGUUUGGAAACAGAGUGCAUCCCUGUGGGACUCAUGCUGCCCCUCCCACUAGCCUCUGCCUCUGUUGCAUCAUUAACAACUGAGCCCACCUGCCCAGUCUCUCCCAUCACAGUCGAUGGUCUCCACAGACCCCAUUUCCUCAAGUUACAAGUCAAAUAUUACAUUCUUGCCACAAAUAAAAUGCAAACGUCACUUACUCCAAGGUUCAGUGCAGCCUGAAGGUGACACUGUCUCACACUGGGGACCAAGACACACAUUAGGGGCAACCAACACCGUCCUCUGGGGCCACAUCUGGGGCGGUGUCCUGGGCUGGAUCUGACAUGACUCCUGAAGGGGCCCGGGAAGUUGCUGUCCCACCCUGCUGCUUCUCGGGCUGAGGGAGGCUGCCCCCAGACCACCCCGGCUGCCGUUUGAGCUCCAUCAUCCCAUCUUGCUCUCGGGAGGUGCCGUGAGCUUCUCGUGGUUCUGAGUCUUGGUUGGCCAUAGCAACAGAGGGAUGUGGGAGGUCCAUGCAGUUUAAAAUCAGUUCUCAAUUGCUCAGCCACUCUUUGCCAAAAGUUGCUGAUCUUUCUCCCAUAAGGAUUACCCAAGUGCUUCUCAUUAUCCAAGCCAGCUUCUAUCACCCCUCAGGGACUCCUUGCUGUAGUCGCUCCUCCCGGCACAACACAGGAAGGCGUCAGUGCCGGAGACAGAUUCCUAGAAUUGAAUAUAUGAACCCUAGCUCCCCUCCCUUCUACCCCGCCUCCACCGCGCCCUCUAGUGGCCAACCGCUAACUCGGACACCAGGUGGCCCUAGGGCUCAGUGCGUCCUCUAACAAUGCCUUUUCUCUGUCAUGCCUGAAGCCUUCCAGUGCAAGUACCAACACUGUUUUGCUCUGGGUCCUUGCGUGGAACUUAGUGCAACUUUCUUACGUGUCUGAUAGCAAUCAGCUUGUCUAAGCAAUUUCAAAAGCAGCCUUGAUCACAACUCUCAUGGUAGCAGGCCAGUUGCAGGGGAGCUGGUCCCAGCCAGAGCAGGGCAACCACUUGAACUAGGCAAGUGCACUUGCCAUUGACUUUCUCACUCCUUGAUAAAUGUCUCCUGUUUUGUAAGACAAUGUUAGGUGUUCACGAGGGCUGGAUGAAAUGAUAAUAUAAUUUACCUCCCCGCGAGUUUGUGCAGGCAUCCUGCAUUUCACCAGUGCUCAGGGCCCUGUUUCCUUCUCUGUGGGACUGACACCCAUUCUUGUAUGUUACAGUGAUUUUGAUACCAGAGUGGGUUCUGCCAGUUCUCUCGGGCACUUCUGUGCCAUUCAAGUGCUCUUUUCUGAUUUACUAACACUUGUAUAAAUUAUAAUUCCAACAAUAUAGCAAUUCCAGGCAGUUUCUCUAUUGCUCAGGCCUAUGUUUAUUAUUUUUAUCUAAAAAUCUGAAGACUUUGCCUUUGAAAAAAAAAAAAAAACACUCACUACCCAACCCGAAUGCAAAGUGCACAAAGCUGAGCCUGCUUGCAGGUCACCGUCUAAGGAACACUCAAGAAUGGAUGCAUUUGCUACGUAAGCUGACCCAUUCUCCAGGAACCCUGUUCCUCCCCUGACCACGCAGCCUGACCUUGCCUAGCCGCCCCUGUACCUAGGAGUGCUCAUGCGACUGACCAACUAAAUGCCAUCUGCCGGGUGUGGUGUAGGGCUGGGCCUAGACAGCGAACACCCGCCACGCCCACCUCCGCCCCCUUUCUCCCUCUGCCUUCCUCUUGACAAACUCUGCAGCAGAGAAAGGAUGUGCAGAGGAUGGGAAGGAGCCCAGUUCCCUGAAUCACCCCUUGUGGGAGAGCUGCCCACCAAUUUAGAACAAAUAUUUUGGACUCGAUGUGAAUAAGAAGUCAACUUCGAUUGUGUUUGUGCCAUAAUGCAUUUGCUGAUUUUCGCUGUUGGCAUUAUCUUAAUUAACUGCACGGUGGCAAGGGUUUUCCCAUCACGCAGGACAGCGUCUUGAAGUUCUGCUUCUGAUGUCUUUUCCCCGACUUCUCCCCAACCACCAGAUCCCUAGGCCCUUCUGAAAAUCUGCGGUUCGCCCUCAGAAACCUGCAUGCGCCUUUCCUGUGAGAUGCAAUUUAGCUCUCAUUCUGGCCGGGGUUCCAGAGGUGCCGUCUUACCCUGGAAUUUGGGCAAGGUUAAAUGCCUUCCUGCCAACACCUAAGUUUUGCUCUAAUUAAGUCGCAUAUGUUCUCUAGCUAUUUUAUUUAGAGCCAACAAAUUAAACUUUAUUCCAGACUGAACUGGACAGAUUAUUUUUGAAAUUCCAAAAUAAUCUAACAUAAAAAAAUCAUUACAAUAACGUGGGGCUAUUGCACGGUGAUUACUAAGAAAGCAUUAUUCAUUGUAUUAAUUCGGAUAAGAGAGAUUCUACUACAGGAAACAAGCAAGAGCUCGAUGAUAAAAAUGCAACUAAAAAUGCAACCAUCCUCUCUCAAACACGCAAGUCUGCUUUAAAGCCGGGAGAUGCCAGGGCAGCUAUGCACCACGGGGUAGCCCAGGGACCCAGGCAGCCUUGAUCUUGGCACACUGUCCUUUCAAUAUGGUCGUCCACAGCAGAGGAACAGCGCGCUAGAGCCUCUCACACUGGUAGUUCAAUGCUCUGGCCGAGUAUUUGGUGCAGCACCUAAGACACUGCCAGGGAUGCCUGCAUCCCAUAUCAGAGUGCCUGGUUCAAGUCUUGGCUCUGCUUCCACCCAGUUUCCCACUAGCAUGCACCAUGGGAAGACAGCAGAUGAUGGCUCAAGUACGUGGGUUCCUGCUACCACCAUGGGGGAGAUCUGUAUUGAUUCUGGGCUCCUGGCUUUGGCCUGGCCCAGCCCUGGCUGUUGAAGGUAUUUGGAGAAUGAACCAGUAGAUAUAAGAUACCUCUCUGUGUCUGUCUCUGUCUUUCAAAUAAAAUGAAAAUGAACACAUUUUUUAAAAAUAGGUUUAAAUGCUCUGUCCCAUACAUGACACGCCACUUCUAGCCGCAGCCCAUGGCCUGCAAGAAGCCACGUGGCCCCUCCAAACUUGGAGGGGAAUGGCAACACAAUGCUCCCACGUACCCGGAGGGACAGGAUACGCCAAGCCACCAGCACUAGGAGAUCCCCUUUGAACUUCUGGUGGGUCCACAUUUUUCUCAGCAAUGAUCCUGCAAGCUAGAAUGACUGUGGUGCCAGGAGACUGGUUUGCCUUAUCACAAGCCAGAGCAGAGGAAUUAAGGACCUCAGGAGAGGAUUCCUCCCUCUCCCAGGAGGCACUGCUCAGUGGGGCCGACCUGGAGCGUCACGCUCCCCAGCGCUCCUCCUCCCAAGUCACACAGCUCCCUACCGUGAUAAAAAUAUCCGAGCCUCCAUCAUUUUAGCAAGAUUUAAUUAAAAUUGCCCUAAAUGAAGAAGCUGUAGUCAUUGUUUGCAUUCCUAGAUGCCUAUGUUUAGUUGAGUCGCACGUAAGCAGAGAAAUGAAAAAUUAGCUUAAUUUUUUGGCUGCAGGGAAGAGUGUGAAUUGGUUUUCUGUCACUCUUGGGGAACAUCUUGUGUCUUCCCUCAGCUGGGUUUCUCUGUCGGGAUUGCUUCUUCCCACCCUCCUCAAGGCCCCUGAGGACAAGCUGUAGCUUGCUGUGACCUGGGAAAACCUCUAGGGCCCAGAGCCAGCCGGGCUUGGGCCCAGGGCCGGGGGCCUCCUCUGGGAACAGCCGGCCCCGCCCCAGCUGCUGACAGCCGCUCCAGAGCGGGGCUUCUCCUCCGAUGCACAUUUGUUGCCCACAGAGCAGAUCUGCGAGCUGG